rnacentral:rRNA from 1 species
CUACGUGCCAGCAGCCGCGGUAAUACAGAGGGUGCAAGCGUUAAUCGGAAUUACUGGGCGUAAAGCGAGCGUAGGUGGUCAUUUAAGUCAGAUGUGAAAUCCCCGGGCUUAACCUGGGAACUGCAUCUGAUACUGGGUGACUAGAGUAGGUGAGAGGGAAGUAGAAUUCCAGGUGUAGCGGUGAAAUGCGUAGAGAUCUGGAGGAAUACCGAUGGCGAAGGCAGCUUCCUGGCAUCAUACUGACACUGAGGUUCGAAAGCGUGGGUAGCAAACAGGAUUAGAUACCCUGGUAGUCCACGCCGUAAACGAUGUCUACCAGUCGUUGGGUCUCUUGAAGACUUAGUGACGCAGUUAACGCGAUAAGUAGACCGCCUGGGGAGUACGGCCGCAAGGUUAAAACUCAAAUGAAUUGACGGGGGCCCGCACAAGCGGUGGAGCAUGUGGUUUAAUUCGAUGCAACGCGAAGAACCUUACC